rnacentral:snRNA from 1 species
AUGUUUAUCUGGGAGAGGAGACAUCAUGAUCAUAAAAGUGGUUUCCUGGGGUUCAGGGUCAUUCUUGGCAUUCUGGGUGUGAUGUUUCCUGUGAUUUCCUCAAAUGUGGGAAACUCAACUUCACAAUUUGUAGCAGUGGGGGACUGCAUUUAUGCUUUCCCCUG